AGAGCUUUGGCGCAGGCCGCCUGCGCGCUGUGCCAGGAAAGCGCUUGGAGAAAAUGUCCGGCCCCGCGACCUGGGACAGGAAGUGAUGGAGCACGGACUUAGUUUGCCUUUCAGUUCUUGUAUAAAUAGUUUUGAGGUGAAUGUGAUUUGCUAACAGUCGGAAACUCUGGGCGGGGCGCGGUAGCUCACACCUGUGAUCCCUGCCCUUUGGGAGGCGGAGGCGGGCGGAGCUCUUGAGCCCAGCAGUUCGGACCAGCCUGGGCAGCAUGGAUAGACCCCAUCCCUACAAAAAUUACAAAAAGUAGUCGGGCGUGGUGGGCUCCUGUGGUCCCAUCUACUCCGUGGGCUGAGGCGGGAGGAUUGCCUGAGCCCGGGAGGUCAAGGCCGCAGGGAGCCGAGCUCACUGCACUACAGGGGUGGACAGCGAGACUCUGCCAAAAAAAAAAAAAAAAAAAAGAAAGCAAAAGCAGGCCGGGCGCGGUGGCUCACGCCUGUAAUCCCAGCACUUUGGGAGGCCAAGGCCAGUGGAUUACCUGAAGUCGGGAGUUCGAGACCAGCCUUGGCCAAUUGGGAGACACCCCGUAUCUACUAAAAAUACAAAACUAACCGGGCGUGAUGGUGCACACCUGUAAUCCCAGCUACUCGGGAGGCUGAGGCAGGAGAAUUGCUUGAAACCGGGAGGAGGAGGUUGCAGUGAUCCGAGAUCGGGCCAUUGCACUCCAGGCCUGGGCAACAAGUGCAAAACUCUGUCUCAAAAAAAAAAAAAAAAAAAAGUCAAAACACAAUUCGGGUGGGAAAGGCAGUGUGCAGCAUUCUCGGUUGUCUGUUCCGCCCCCAAAAGCUUCCCUCCUUUAGGUUUAACCUGCGCCCCCGUGCUCUGCAUCAGCGCGGCCCCUGACCCCGUGCAGCUGGAAACACUGCUGGGCCCCUUCACACCCCUGCCUGCUGGGCCCCUUCACACCCCGGUGGUGGUGCAGCCCUGCCUCCCGCAAGACAGCACUGCCUUCGUGCUGGACACAGUUCUAAGGGUUGUCUCUGAAUUUUCACUCAGUUGUCUACCAAGAUGUUGAAUGGACCCAGAGCCAAGGACGUGGUCUUUUAUCAGUGGCACCUGAGACUUUCUUCCCUGUGGACGCAAAUCCAUUAUUCAGCACUCUGGGCACAGCUACAGAUCUGAUCAGCUAUCCAUUCUCCAAACUAUCUCAUCCUCUGUCCCAUUUUUCUGUCUCUCUUGUCCACAAGGCAUAUACCUGAGAGUUUUCAAAUUCCUCAGAGAAAUUUAGAUAUUCUGUGGCUUUGGCAUUCACCUAAUGUGUUAAUCUACAAACCUUUUUUACAGUGUGGAUUUUUUUUCAUGAUGUGAAUUCAAGUGGUUUCUAAUGGUCUCUUCAUAAAGUUGUAAACCAAAAGUAAAAUUCUAAGGCCCCACCCCAUCUGAAUGGACCCCUUCUCUGGGCCAGGGCACUCCAAAUUAACCUGAAAACCGUUCAGGCCACGACAUGAAGUGGGGGCGGGUGGGACAUGGCUGACUAUGCCCUCCUCCCUUUUGGAAUUCAGGGAAAGCCAACACAGACCUUAAGUCUAAUGAGAAACACCAUCUAUUCUCUCUGAAGCCUGCUACCCCAAGGCUUCUUCUGCUGAUAAAACUUUGGUCUCCACAACCUCUUAUAACCCAGACAUUCCUUUCUAUUGGUAAUAACUCUCAACUAAUUGCCAAUCAGAACAUUUUUAAAUCUACCUAUAACCCAGAAGCCCCCACUUUGAGUUGUCCUGCCUUUCUGGACUGAACCAAUGUAUAUCUUGAAUAGAUUUGAUUGAUGUCUCACGACCCUCUAAAAUGCAUAAAACCAAGUUGCACCCCAGCCACCUCCUGAGGUCUGUGUCAUGGGCGUGGCCACUCUAUUUGGCUCAGAAUAAAUCUCUUCAAGUAUUUCACAGAGGUUCAGCCUUUUCAUUGACAAAGUAUUCAUAUCACUUGUUGAAGAAUCCUUUCUAGAAUCUUCCACAGCUCUUUGAGCUGUAGUUUCUGAAGUCCAUCUUUAU
rnacentral:lncRNA from 1 species